UACGAAGGGGGCUAGCGUUGCUCGGAAUCACUGGGCGUAAAGGGUGCGUAGGCGGGUCUUUAAGUCAGGGGUGAAAUCCUGGAGCUCAACUCCAGAACUGCCUUUGAUACUGAGGAUCUUGAGUUCGGGAGAGGUGAGUGGAACUGCGAGUGUAGAGGUGAAAUUCGUAGAUAUUCGCAAGAACACCGGUGGUGAAGGCGGCUCUCUGGAACGCAACUGACGCUGAGACGCGAAAGCGUGGGGAGCAAACAGG
rnacentral:rRNA from 1 species